GGUAAUUCUAGAGCUAAUACAUGCUAAAAACCUCGACUUCGGAAGGGGUGUAUUUAUUAGAUAAAAAACCAAUGCCCUUCGGGGCUCCUUGGUGAAUCAUAAUAACUUAACGAAUCGCAUGGCCUUGCGCCGGCGAUGGUUCAUUCAAAUUUCUGCCCUAUCAACUUUCGAUGGUAAGAUAGAGGCUUACCAUGGUCUUAACGGGUAACGGGGAAUUAGGGUUCUAUUCCGGAGAGGGAGCCUGAGAAACGGCUACCACAUCCAAGGAAGGCAGCAGGCGCGCAAAUUACCCAAUCCCGACACGGGGAGGUAGUGACAAUAAAUACUGAUACGGGGCUCUUUUGGGUCUCGUAAUUGGAAUGAGUACAAUCUAAAUCCCUUAACGAGGAACAAUUGGAGGGCAAGUCUGGUGCCAGCAGCCGCGGUAAUUCCAGCUCCAAUAGCGUAUAUUAAAGUUGUUGCCGUUAAAAAGCUCGUAGUUGAACCUUGGGCCUGGCUGACCUGUCCUCCUAAUCGAGCGCACGGGUUCGGUCGGGCCUUUCCUUCUAGGGAACCCCAUGCCCUUCACUGGGUGUGGUGGGGAACUAGGACUUUUACCUUGAAAAAAUUAGAGUGUUCAAAGCAGGCCUUUGCUCGAAUACAUUAGCAUGGAAUAAUAGAAUAGGACAUCGGUUCUAUUUUGUUGGUUUCUAG
rnacentral:rRNA from 1 species